rnacentral:rRNA from 1 species
AGACAGGUGCUGCAUGGCUGUCGUCAGCUCGUGUUGUGAAAUGUUGGGUUAAGUCCCGCAACGAGCGCAACCCUUAUCCUUUGUUGCCAGCGGUUCGGCCGGGAACUCAAAGGAGACUGCCGGUGAUAAACUGGAGGAAGGGGGGGAUGACGUCAAGUCAUCAUGGCCCUUACGAGUGGGGCUACACACGUGCUACAAUGGCGCAUACAAAGAGAAGCGACCUCGCGAGAGCAAGCGGACCUCAUAAAGUGCGUCGUAGUCCGGAUUGGAGUCUGCAACUCGACUCCGUGAAGUCGGAAUCGCUAGUAAUCGUGGAUCAAAAUGCCACGGUGAAUACGUUCCCGGGUCUG